UACGAAGGGGGCUAGCGUUGCGCGGAAUCACUGGGCGUAAAGGGUGCGUAGGCGGGCAGGUAAGUCCGUGGUGAAAUCUCUGAGCUUAACUCAGAAACUGCCAUGGAUACUAUUUGUCUUGAAUGUUGUGGAGGUAAGCGGAAUAUGUCAUGUAGCGGUGAAAUGCUUAGAUAUGACAUAGAACACCAAUUGCGAAGGCAGCUUACUACACAGAUAUUGACGCUGAGGCACGAAAGCGUGGGGAUCAAACAGG
rnacentral:rRNA from 1 species